rnacentral:rRNA from 1 species
UACGUAGGGUGCAAGCGUUGUCCGGAAUUAUUGGGCGUAAAGAGCUCGUAGGCGGUCUGUCGCGUCGGCUGUGAAAACCCGAGGCUCAACCUCGGGCCUGCAGUCGAUACGGGCAAACUAGAGUACUGCAGGGGAGACUGGAAUUCCUGGUGUAGCGGUGAAAUGCGCAGAUAUCAGGAGGAACCACCGGUGGGCGAAAGCCGAC